GGGCGUUUAGCGCAGUGGUAGCGCGUAUGCUUUGCAGUUCCUGAAGGAAUGAAUAUUUGUAUAAGGUCCAGGGUUCAAUCCCCUGAACGUCCA